rnacentral:lncRNA from 1 species
CCCUAGUUAUCGGUGCCCAGCUUGGAGAGCCCUCGGCGGAAGUCAUGCAGGUCGUCAAUCUUCCCGUCCAGCACCUCCAGGAAGCUCUUCAACUCCACCUUCAGGUGGCGCUGUCGGUAUUUGCUCUCCUCAAUGUCUGUCUUUAAGGAACGCACUUUGUCUUCCAGGUUUUGAUUGUCUCUCUCUGCCGCCUGGCCAAGCAAAAGGGAGAAGGGUCUAGAAAACCUCUAGCUUCUCAGAGACAUAUUCGCACUCUGACAUGAGCUGAGG